UACGAGGGGGGCGAGCGUUGUUCGGAUUCAUUGGGCGUAAAGAGCUCGUAGGCGGCUUGGUAAGUCGGAUGUGAAACCUCCAGGCUCAACCUGGAGUCGCCAUCCGAUACUGCCAUGGCUAGAGUCCGGUAGGGGCCCACGGAAUUCCUGGUGUAGCGGUGAAAUGCGCAGAUAUCAGGAGGAACACCAAUGGCGAAGGCAGCUCGCUGGGACGUGACUGACGCUGAGACGCGAAAGCGUGGGGAGCAAACAGG
rnacentral:rRNA from 1 species